rnacentral:lncRNA from 1 species
AUGGACUCGAGUAGGUACAACUUUGAAUUCCAUUACUCAGUAGUCAGCAGAUGAAAGGAGGUGAGGGAAUUGUGGAUUUGGAAAGACAUUUCAUUCAUCUCUCUUAAUCAGAUUUAUGGAUCUGCAUCCUUCUCGUUCCUAGGAAUAUCCAAUUCAAACGUAUUCUUAUACUCUCUUCAAGGGAUAUCCACUUCUAAUGCGAGAUCCGUUGAACAAGUGCUUCACUCGGUCGGUUGAUCUUGUACCCUUUAAUAGAAGGAUCGUUGAUUGUUGCCUCUUCAUAUCUUCUACGGAAUCAUCGUAUACUUCUAGAUAUAAGAACUAAGGAGUUCCCUAAAACGAUAGAAAGGCCCGAAGAGAAAUAGAGAGAGUUAUCAUCCUCCAUCCACAGUCCUUUCUUUGAAAUUAUUUAAAGUCAACUCUACUUUGUCUCCUACUCUUAAGAAAACUAUUUCAUUAAUAAGAGUCGCUCAGUUCUCUUGAUGUAUUGUAUAUAUUGCAGAAAUCACUCAUUGGAAUCAGAUUUAUAUCCAUUCCAUUUAUAAGUUGGACUUAUACGGAUAAAUAUAUAACCUGGACACUUCAAUCUCACGCCUGAUUUCUUUAUUACUACUUAGUCUCUUACGUCAUUGGAAAUAAGUGGAAGAUGAUCAUAGACUCGUUAAGAUAAUUCUAUUCUGAUAUUACAUAUAAAUAGUUAUUUGGAACUGGAGAGUUCCACAAAAAGAAGUAACUCCCGAAUGAAUGAGGAACUAAGAGUUAUCAUUUCUCAUCCACAGCUCCUUCGUUGAAACUCUUGAAGCCUGUUCCUACCAAACUCGACUUUUUUUCAUCUGUUAUUCUUAUCAAAAUAUUUCAUUGUUAAGAAUCCUUCAGUUUCCUUGAUGUAUAUAAUGCAGAAAUCCAUUGAAAAAGUAUAAGUCAAUCUUAUACUCUCAAUGAAUAUGCACCCUUUUUUCUCAAUACUUUUGUUUGCAAUACAUAUUAGAUUUUGCUGUUAUCUGCAUAAAUAGAUUUUGUGAAUUGUUGAGUGCUAAGUGAUUAUGUUAUAACAAA